ACCGCAGACCGCCUUAUCGCCGUUUUGAGUAAUCAAGAAGGAGGAAAGUCCGGACACCAUAGGGAAGCAUAGCGGGUAACGCCCGCCGGUUCGCUUCGGCGAAUUAGGACAAGUGCAACAGAAAGUAUGUACAGGUAAUGCUGUAGUGAAACCAGGUAAACUCUAUGCGGUGAAAUAUCAAGUAUAUCAGCAUUUAAGGGCUUCUCGUCCGUUGCUGAAGGGUAGAUAGCUUGAGUUACGCAGUAAUGCGUAAUCUAGAUAAAUGAUAAGGUAAUGCUGAAAUAAAUUCAGUGUUAACAGAAUCCGGCUUACAGGUCUGCUUUUUUA
rfam:Flavobacterium fryxellicola strain DSM 16209 FBFR47, whole genome shotgun sequence.